CAGGGUUUGACAUGGCCUUGCACCAGGCAGAGAUGCCUGUCCGGUUCGCCGGCGAGGUCACAGGUGCUGCAUGGCUGUCGUCAGCUCGUGCCGUGAGGUGUUGGGUUAAGUCCCGCAACGAGCGCAACCCUCGGGGUCCGUUGAAUAUGUUUCGGGCCCGACUGCCGCGCGCAACGCGGAGGAAGGUGGGGAUGACGUCAAGUCAGCACGGCCCUGACAUCCUGGGCGACACACACGCUACAAUGGCUGGGACAGAGCGAGGCCAACCGGCGACGGGGAGCGGAUCGCAGCAAACCCAGUCUCAGUGCAGAUUGCAGGCUGCAACUCGCCUGCAUGAAGGUGGAGUUGCUAGUAACCGUGAGUCAGCACAUCACGGUGAAUACGUUCCC
rnacentral:rRNA from 1 species